rnacentral:rRNA from 1 species
CCUACGGGGGGCAGCAGUGAGGAAUAUUGGUCAAUGGGCGCGAGCCUGAACCAGCCAAGUCGCGUGAGGGAAGACGGUCCUAUGGAUUGUAAACCUCUUUUGCCGGGGAGCAAAAGACGCCACGCGUGGCGUUCCGAGAGUACCCGAAGAAAAAGCAUCGGCUAACUCCGUGCCAGCAGCCGCGGUAAUACGGAGGAUGCGAGCGUUAUCCGGAUUUAUUGGGUUUAAAGGGUGCGCAGGCGGAAGAUUAAGUCAGCGGUAAAAUUGAGAGGCUCAACCUCUUCGAGCCGUUGAAACUGGUUUGCUUGAGUGAGUGAGAAGUAUGCGGAAUGCGUGGUGUAGCGGUGAAAUGCAUAGAUAUCACGCAGAACUCCGAUUGCGAAGGCAGCAUACCGGCGCUCAACUGACGCUCAUGCACGAAAGUGUGGGUAUCGAACAGGAUUAGAUACCCGAGUAGUC